rnacentral:rRNA from 1 species
AUUGAACGCUGGCGGCAGGCCUAACACAUGCAAUUCGAACGAGUGGCGGACGGGUGAGUAAUGUAUGGGAAACUGCCUGAUGGAGGGGGCUAACUACUGGAAACGUUAGCUCAACCCACAUACCCUGCGAUUUGGCCAGAUUGGAUUAGCUGGUUGGUGGGGUAACGGCUCACCAAGGCGACGAUCCAUAGCUGGUCCAAGAGGAUGACCAGCCACACUGGAACUGAGACACGGUCCAGACUCCUACGGGAGGCAGCAGUGGGGAAUAUUGCACAAUGGGCGCAAGCCUGAUGCAGCCAUGCCGCGUGUAUGAAGAAGGCUUUCGGGUUGUAAAGUACUUUCAGCGGGGAGGCGUUACCCGCAGAAGAAGCACCGGCUAACUCCGUGCCAGCAGCCGCGGUAAUAC